rnacentral:rRNA from 1 species
CGGCAACAGCUCAAAUUUGAAAUCUGGCUCUCGGGCCCGAGUUGUAAUUUGUAGAGGAUACUUUUGAUGCGGUGCCUUCCGAGUUCCUUGGAACAGGACGUCAUAGAGGGUGAGAAUCCCGUAUGUGACUGGCCGCCUUCGCCUAUGUGAAGCUCUUUCGAC